GCUGGGCAUGGUAGCGUAUGCCUGUAAUCCCAGCAGCUCAGGAGGCUGAGGCAGGAGGAUCACAAAUUCCAAGCCAGCCUCAGCAAAAGUGAGGCGCUAAGUAACUCAGUGAGACCCUGUCUCUA
rnacentral:sRNA from 1 species